GUUUACAAUUUCAUAUUAUCCGCUCUCUCUUAUUUACUCUUGUUUAGUUUGCUUGAUUAUAUAAUUGUUAUGCAACUUUCUUAGCCUACCCUUAACCCGAUCCCUUGGCGAAAAGAGCCUAAUACUAAUUACUGGCAGCAAAAAUAGCUGCCCGGCGGUUUGCCUCAAGCUGCAGAACCGCCCGGCGCCCCGGUCAACUGCCCAACGGUUUGGUUAACUUUUUCUGGUUGACUGGUUGACUUUUUUGGUUGAUCGGUUGACUUUUCUGCACUGCAACCAUUUGAACUU
rnacentral:lncRNA from 1 species